rnacentral:rRNA from 1 species
AGGACGACGCUGGCGGCGUGCCUAACACAUGCAAGUCGAACGGGGUCAGCCCUUUCGGGGACUGACUUAGUGGCGAACGGGUGAGUAACGCGUGAGGAACCUGCCUUUCAGUGGGGGACAACAGUUGGAAACGACUGCUAAUACCGCAUAAUGUAUUUUAGGGGCAUCCCUUUAAUACCAAAGAUUUAUUGCUGAAAGAUGGUCUCGCGUCUGAUUAGCUAGAUGGCGGGGUAACGGCCCACCAUGGCGACGAUCAGUAGCCGGCCUGAGAGGGUGACCGGCCACAUUGGGACUGAGACACGGCCCAAACUCCUACGGGAGGCAGCAGUGGGGAAUAUUGGGCAAUGGGGGCAACCCUGACCCAGCGACGCCGCGUGAGUGAAGAAGUAUUUCGGUAUGUAAAGCUCUAUCAGCAGGGAAGAUAAUGACGGUACCUGACUAAGAAGCCCCGGCUAACUACGUG